GCAACUCAGCCUGCAGGGGCCACAUUACAACAAAACCACCCCCACCGCCUUGUGAGAUGAGAAAGCUGACUCUCUCCAUCUAUCUUCAUCCUGCUGGUUGGAUGCAAAUUGCUUCCUCCCACUGAGGCGAAAGAAUACUGCUCUUGGCAUAGGUUUUACAGACGGGGAUUCCAGGUCGCUGUUUCUCUUGACCUUGCAUGGGGCAGGAAGCACCAAGGAGGACCGGAAGUAACCAGAAGCAGGCUACUAGGCCACUGGGCAGGCUGCAAAAUAUUAAGAGAGAGGGAGACCAGAGUUCAUUUCUUAGCUACUGCUUGGGUGUCUACCUGCACGCUGCCAUGCUUCCUGCCAUGAUAAUAAUGGACUCAACCUCAGAGACUAUAAGCAAGCCCCCAUUAAAUCUCUUUCUUAUAAUAA